AUGUGGACAACACUCGCAAGUAACAGGGAGGAACCAAUUAAAUGAGGUUCAAUGGACUUUUCCUUGGAGGGGUGACAGUAUCGCACCGCCAUUCUUCGACGCCCAGCAGAGAAGGAAGUUGAAGAGCGUCGAGCACUAUGCCACCAAAACGCCAACACUGGGGCGCCUCUGAUAAGGAAGCGGUGGCAAGCCACUAGAGGAGCGCCUGCUUUCUAGUAGUGCUACGGAGGGCAGGCCAAUACUAGAACGCCUCCGUGCUUUGCUGACGAGAACUGCAGGACCAGGCUGACAGACAGUAGCAGGGUACUUCUGUCUCUUUUGCCAUAAAUGGAAAUGACGCUGGAAGAAGAAAUCCAUGCUGUUUGGAAUGGUUUAGACACACAUGCGAUGUCAUGACAACAUGAGAGGCCGUAUCUUUUGUGCAACUGGAAACACAGCAAUGAAGUGCUACUUUGCAUUUUAGGCUGUCGACACAUAGGUUCAAUACUUUUGAUAAGACAAAGCGGGGGGGGAUUGUUUUUCCUCUCCGGUCCCUUUGUGUGUUUUUACCCUUCUCCAACACAAAGUCAACGGAGCUGUGGUCUAAAGCAGAACAGUACACAACAGUACUCACAAAAGGUUAGUGAUAUUUAGCUUGCAGGUGAUAUUUCAGAAUGGAUCUAAAAUACGCUAUAACCUUGACAGGUGAACUUAAAUUGAAUUUCUUUAGACCUUUGAAUGGAACAAAACAUUUCCGGGUGUAAUUAGAAUUUACAUUUAAACAGUCCCCUUCAUCAUGUUGUUUACAUUUUGACAUCAUGAGGACAAGACGACACCCAACAAUUGAUUAAAAGUACCUCGCCAUUGCAAGGCUUCAAACAGGAUGUUCUCAGAAGUAAGUGGCCACUGAGUUUAGAGUCACAGCAUGUCAUCAGCAGAUUGCACCAGAGAUACAGAGAGACUGGAAGAGUCACACAAAGCCAUAGAAGUGGAUGUCCUUGGAAAUGUAUUGGAUCAAAUAAUUUUGCCAUUCAAGCUAUUUUUUAGAGAACAGCAAGUUGUGCAAUAAUGACUGGAAAACUGAACAGUUGCAUUUCUAUGUUAAUCCUGAAAAGACCAAUAUCUCAAACAUUUUGUGAGUGGUGUCUGUGUUUUAAAGUUUACUAAAUACUAAUUGUCUUAAAAGUCCAAAUUGUCAUAAAGUGAAAAUCAAGAAUUUUUAUUUGACUGCAACGAUAUAUGCUUGAUUUGGU